rnacentral:rRNA from 1 species
GCGAGUGAAGCGGCAACAGCUCAAAUUUGAAAGCUAGCCUUCGGGUUCGCAUUGUAAUUUGUAGAGGAUGAUUUGGGGAAGCCGCCUGUCUAAGUUCCUUGGAACAGGACGUCAUAGAGGGUGAGAAUCCCGUAUGUGACAGGAAAUGGCACCCUAUGUAAAUCUCCUUCGACGAGUCGAGUUGUUUGGGAAUGCAGCUCUAAAUGGGAGGUAAAUUUCUUCUAAAGCUAAAUAUUGGCGAGAGACCGAUAGCGCACAAGUAGAGUGAUCGAAAGAUGAAAAGCACUUUGGAAAGAGAGUUAAAAAGCACGUGAAAUUGUUGAAAGGGAAGCGCUUGCAAUCAGACUUGUUUAAACUGUUCGGCCGGUCUUCUGACCGGUUUACUCAGUUUGGACAGGCCAGCAUCAGUUUCGGCGGCCGGAUAAAGGCUCUGGGAAUGUGGCCUCCACUUCGGUGGAGGUGUUAUAGCCCAGGGUGUAAUACGGCCAGCCGGGACUGAGGUCCGCGCUUCGGCUAGGAUGCUGGCGUAAUGGUUGUAAGCGACCC